GCACAGAACCUAGCAAGCAGUGGGCAUUCCAUAAAGAGGUGUGGGACCAACUAAUGGCUUGGACACAACAGAGAGCAGAAUCCAAAAGUCGUGCAGUCUUUUUGGAAGAGCACUGGACUGAAAGUUGAGUCCCUCCUGCACCUUUUGGCAUAUAACCUGGGUAACUCAUUUAACCUGUCUCAGUCUUAGAGUCCUUAUCCAUCAAAUGAUCAGUUUGCUAGGGCUGCCAUAACAAAGUACCACUAAGUGGGUGGCUUAAUGAAACAGAAAUCUAUAGUGUCAGUUCUGGAGGGUAGAAGUCUGAAAUCGAGGUGUUGGCAGGGUCUUCACUAAUUACUUCUUCAAUGACCCUAU
rnacentral:lncRNA from 10 species